CAGUAGCCACGGUAAUACAGAGGGUGCGAGCGUUAAUCGGAUUUACUGGGCGUAAAGCGUGCGUAGGCGGCUUCUUAAGUCGGAUGUGAAAUCCCUGAGCUUAACUUAGGAAUUGCAUUCGAUACUGGGAAGCUAGAGUAUGGGAGAGGAUGGUAGAAUUCCAGGUGUAGCGGUGAAAUGCGUAGAGAUCUGGAGGAAUACCGAUGGCGUAGGCAGCCAUCUGGCCUAAUACUGACGCUGAGGUACGAAAGCAUGGGGAGCAAACAGGAUUAGAUACCCCAGUAGUCCCUGUCUCUUAUAC
rnacentral:rRNA from 1 species